GGUCAAGUGAAGAAGCGCAUACGGUGGAUGCCUUGGCAGUCAGAGGCGAUGAAAGACGUGGUAGCCUGCGAAAAGCUUCGGGGAGUCGGCAAACAGACUUUGAUCCGGAGAUCUCUGAAUGGGGGAACCCACCUAGGAUAACCUAGGUAUCUUGUACUGAAUCCAUAGGUGCAAGAGGCGAACCAGGGGAACUGAAACAUCUAAGUACCCUGAGGAAAAGAAAUCAACCGAGAUUCCCUUAGUAGUGGCGAGCGAACGGGGAUUAGCCCUUAAGCUUCAUUGAUUUUAGCGGAACGCUCUGGAAAGUGCGGCCAUAGUGGGUGAUAGCCCCGUACGCGAAAGGAUCUUUGAAGUGAAAUCGAGUAGGACGGAGCACGAGAAACUUUGUCUGAACAUGGGGGGACCAUCCUCCAAGGCUAAAUACUACUGACUGACCGAUAGUGAACCAGUACCGUGAGGGAAAGGCGAAAAGAACCCCGGAGAGGGGAGUGAAAUAGAACCUGAAACCGUAUGCGUACAAGCAGUGGGAGCCUACUUGUUAGGUGACUGCGUACCUUUUGUAUAAUGGGUCAGCGACUUAUAUUCAGUGGCAAGCUUAACCGUAUAGGGUAGGCGUAGCGAAAGCGAGUCUUAAUAGGGCGUUUAGUCGCUGGGUAUAGACCCGAAACCGGGCGAUCUAUCCAUGAGCAGGUUGAAGGUUAGGUAACACUGACUGGAGGACCGAACCCACUCCCGUUGAAAAGGUAGGGGAUGACUUGUGGAUCGGAGUGAAAGGCUAAUCAAGCUCGGAGAUAGCUGGUUCUCCUCGAAAGCUAUUUAGGUAGCGCCUCAUGUAUCACUCUGGGGGGUAGAGCACUGUUUCGGCUAGGGGGUCAUCCCGACUUACCAAACCGAUGCAAACUCCGAAUACCCAGAAGUGCCGAGCAUGGGAGACACACGGCGGGUGCUAACGUCCGUCGUGAAAAGGGAAACAACCCAGACCGCCAGCUAAGGUCCCAAAGUUGUGGUUAAGUGGUAAACGAUGUGGGAAGGCUUAGACAGCUAGGAGGUUGGCUUAGAAGCAGCCACCCUUUAAAGAAAGCGUAAUAGCUCACUAGUCGAGUCGGCCUGCGCGGAAGAUGUAACGGGGCUCAAACCACACACCGAAGCUGCGGGUGUCACGUAAGUGACGCGGUAGAGGAGCGUUCUGUAAGCCUGUGAAGGUGAGUUGAGAAGCUUGCUGGAGGUAUCAGAAGUGCGAAUGCUGACAUGAGUAACGACAAUGGGUGUGAAAAACACCCACGCCGAAAGACCAAGGGUUCCUGCGCAACGUUAAUCGACGCAGGGUUAGUCGGUUCCUAAGGCGAGGCUGAAAAGCGUAGUCGAUGGGAAACAGGUUAAUAUUCCUGUACUUCUGGUUACUGCGAUGGAGGGACGGAGAAGGCUAGGCCAGCUUGGCGUUGGUUGUCCAAGUUUAAGGUGGUAGGCUGAAAUCUUAGGUAAAUCCGGGGUUUCAAGGCCGAGAGCUGAUGACGAGUCGUCUUUUAGAUGACGAAGUGGUUGAUGCCAUGCUUCCAAGAAAAGCUUCUAAGCUUCAGGUAACCAGGAACCGUACCCCAAACCGACACAGGUGGUCGGGUAGAGAAUACCAAGGCGCUUGAGAGAACUCGGGUGAAGGAACUAGGCAAAAUGGCACCGUAACUUCGGGAGAAGGUGCGCCGGCUAGGGUGAAGGAUUUACUCCGUAAGCUCUGGCUGGUCGAAGAUACCAGGCCGCUGCGACUGUUUAUUAAAAACACAGCACUCUGCAAACACGAAAGUGGACGUAUAGGGUGUGACGCCUGCCCGGUGCCGGAAGGUUAAUUGAUGGGGUUAGCGCAAGCGAAGCUCUUGAUCGAAGCCCCGGUAAACGGCGGCCGUAACUAUAACGGUCCUAAGGUAGCGAAAUUCCUUGUCGGGUAAGUUCCGACCUGCACGAAUGGCGUAACGAUGGCGGCGCUGUCUCCACCCGAGACUCAGUGAAAUUGAAAUCGCUGUGAAGAUGC
rnacentral:rRNA from 1 species